rnacentral:rRNA from 1 species
CAGCAGCCGCGGUAAAACGUAGGUGGCAAGCGUUGUCCGGAAUUAUUGGGCGUAAAGGGCUCGCAGGCGGUUUCUUAAGUCUGAUGUGAAAGCCCCCGGCUCAACCGGGGAGGGUCAUUGGAAACUGGGAAACUUGAGUGCAGAAGAGGAGAGUGGAAUUCCACGUGUAGCGGUGAAAUGCGUAGAGAUGUGGAGGAACACCAGUGGCGAAGGCGACUCUCCGGCUUGUAACUGACGCUGAGGCUCGAAAGCGUGGGGAGCAAACAGGAUUAGAUACCCCUGUAGUCCCUGUCUCUUAUAU